rnacentral:misc_RNA from 1 species
GAUUUUUCUUUAUUCAUUUGAUUCCGACUAAUGAAUUUUAAAAUUUAAGACAUUGCCAAUUCAAAAUUACGUUUUAUCAAUGAAAAAAGACAAUAGGUGGGAAAAAUAGUGCCACAACCUUGACACUGCUAAGAGCCAUGAUAUGGUACACCCUAGAAUGGAUUUAUUAUUCGGUUAUCCAUAAACAAUAAGUCUUUGAGUUCCUCAGGUAAAAAAGAGGCCUUGAGUUCACGGCUUGCCGUAAGAUGGCUCUGACUGAUACGACUCGCCCACGGCAUGGGCUCAACAUUAAGAAUGAUCGAUGACUUGGCUCGGUCAUUUAAUGGCUUCUAAUGCACAUGGCUGGAAAAUACCUGGAUAAGACCUGCGAUAUUCUCACCUAGGAUAUUGGGGUCGUUAUCCCACUAAGGCCGAGUAUCUUGGGAUUUGGUGAACGUUCGAUAAUUGUCUUUAACGGCUCAUAAUCAGCUCAUAUAUAGACAUUCAGCAUCAGUACCCGGUGUGCAUACUCACUGAAUAAUCAAAUCUCUCUUCACAAGCUUGCAAGCUCUUCAGUUAUCCAAUUGACUUAAGCAUCGGAACAGCUGUCAUAAGCCGCUGAUCUUACCAUUUUCUCUCACAUCAUGCCAGAAUAAUCAAUACUAAUGCUGCAGAUACUCCAACUUCUUAGUUAAGUUCGGACCUCUGCAAUUCAAUUGCACCAUUCAAGAUAAACCAAUGUCAAAGAAUACACAUAAAAACAUGUAUGCAUGCGCAUGCGCAUGCAUACAUGUUUUUAUGUGUAUUCUUUGACAUUGGUUUAUCUUGAAUGGUGCAAUUGAAUUGCAGAGGUCCGAACUUAACUAAGAAGUUGGAGUAUCUGCAGCAUUAGUAUUGAUUAUUCUGGCAUGAUGUGAGAGAAAAUGGUAAGAUCAGCGGCUUAUGACAGCUGUUCCGAUGCUUAAGUCAAUUGGAUAACUGAAGAGCUUGCAAGCUUGUGAAGAGAGAUUUGAUUAUUCAGUGAGUAUGCACACCGGGUACUGAUGCUGAAUGUCUAUAUAUGAGCUGAUUAUGAGCCGUUAAAGACAAUUAUCGAACGUUCACCAAAUCCCAAGAUACUCGGCCUUAGUGGGAUAACGACCCCAAUAUCCUAGGUGAGAAUAUCGCAGGUCUUAUCCAGGUAUUUUCCAGCCAUGUGCAUUAGAAGCCAUUAAAUGACCGAGCCAAGUCAUCGAUCAUUCUUAAUGUUGAGCCCAUGCCGUGGGCGAGUCGUAUCAGUCAGAGCCAUCUUACGGCAAGCCGUGAACUCAAGGCCUCUUUUUUACCUGAGGAACUCAAAGACUUAUUGUUUAUGGAUAACCGAAUAAUAAAUCCAUUCUAGGGUGUACCAUAUCAUGGCUCUUAGCAGUGUCAAGGUUGUGGCACUAUUUUUCCCACCUAUUGUCUUUUUUCAUUGAUAAAACGUAAUUUUGAAUUGGCAAUGUCUUAAAUUUUAAAAUUCAUUAGUCGGAAUCAAAUGAAUAAAGAAAAAUC